rnacentral:rRNA from 1 species
GACGAACGCUGGCGGCGUGCUUAACACAUGCAAGUCGAACGGAAAGGCCUGGCUUUUGUUGUGUGCUCGAGUUGCUAACGUGUGAGUAACACGUGAGUAACCUGCCCUUUACUUUGGGAUAACUUCAGUAAACUUGGGCUAAUACCUGUUAUUAGCUCCUGCUGCGUGGGGUGGUUUGUAAAGUUUCGGCGGUUGGUGUUGGACUCGCGGCUUAUCAGCUUGUUGGUGGGGUAGUGGCUUACGAAGUCUUUGACGGGUAGCCGGCCUGAGAGGGUGAACGGACACACUGGGACUGAGAUAAGGCGCAGACGCAGAGGGGAGGCAGCAGUGGGGAAUAGUGCACAAUGGGAGGAAGGCUGAUGCAGCAACGCCGCGUGUGGGAUGACGGCCUUCGGGUUGUAAACCGCUUUCGACUGUGACGAAGCGUGAGUGACGGUAAUGGGUAAAGAAGCACCGGCUAACUACGUG